GGCUACGAGGACGACGCUGGCGGCGUGCUUAACACAUGCAAGUGGAGCGACGAACCGGGGCUUGCCCCGGGGCAGAGCCGCGAACGGGUGAGUAACACGUGGGUAACCUGCCUCAAUGAUUGGGACAACCCGGGGAAACUCGGGCUAAUACCAAAUGUGUUCACUCCUUCCAAGGGGAGUGAGGAAAGGAAGCUUCGGCCUCCGCAUUGAGAUGGGCCCGCGGCCCAUUAGCUUGUUGGUGAGGUAACGGCUCACCAAGGCUUCGAUGGGUAGCUGGUCUGAGAGGACGAUCAGCCACACUGGGACUGAGACACGGCCCAGACUCCUACGGGAGGCAGCAGUGGGGAAUCUUGCACAAUGCGCGAAAGCGUGAUGCAGCAACGCCGCGUGGGGGAAGACGGCCUUCGGGUUGUAAACCCCUUUCAGUUGGGACGAAGCUUCGUCGGUGAAUAGCCGGUUGGAGUGACGGUACCUUCAGAAGAAGCCCCGGCUAACUACGUG
rnacentral:rRNA from 1 species